rnacentral:rRNA from 1 species
CCUACGGGUGGCAGCAGUCGAGAAUUAUUCACAAUGGGGGAAACCCUGAUGGUGCGACGCCGCGUGGGGGAAUGAAGGUCUUCGGUUUGUAAACCCCUGUCAUGUGGGAGCACAUUAAAAAGAUUGUACAACAAGAGGAAGAGACGGCUAACUCUGUGCCAGCAGCCGCGGUAAUACAGAGGUCUCAAGCGUUGUUCGGAAUCACGGGGCGUAAAGCGUGCGUAGGCUGUUUCGUAAGUCGUGUGUGAAAGGCGCGGGCUCAACCCGCGGACGGCACAUGAUACUGCGAGACUCGAGUAAUGGAGGGGGAACCGGAAUUCUCGGUGUAGCAGUGAAAUGCGUAGAUAUCGAGAGGAACACUCGUGGCGAAGGCGGGUUCCUGGACAUUAACUGACGCUGAGGCACGAAGGCCAGGGGAGCGAAAGGGAUUAGAUACCCCGGUAGUC